UUUUUAGUAUAAAUAUGUCCUGUGCAACAUUUUGGACAUACUAAUACUAAAA
rfam:Myotis lucifugus cont2.5062, whole genome shotgun sequence.